AUGCGCUGUGCGGCCGAUGAACGGUCUGGAGUGAGACCCACUCCCGAUCGGUUGCACUACCUUUGGAGAUGGCUCCCCAACGGUCCUCUCUUCCUCCUGCUCGCUCCUACGCCGCCACCGUUGUCAACGGUCAGAUCCGCAGCGGCUCCUCCCGACCACAGCCUCACCCGCUGGGCUUUCGCUCCAAAACCCAACGGCCAGAUAACGCCCUUGCGCCGGCUGCGCCCCCCUGUUCGUCUGCAUCAUCCGCGACGCCGCUCCCGGGCCGCUCUCGUCCUGCCACGGAGGAUCUGGAGCCAGAUGGCGACGGAUGGGUCAAGGUGUGGAACCGCCGUCACCGGCGCCGUUAUGAAAAUGCUCCUGCCGUCAAGAUCCCGGAUGCAUCCAAGCCUCGGAUUCCCCGGUGGCUUGAGGGCCUCUGCUUUAAAUGCCUGGAGGCAGGGCACUUUAAGGCGGAGUGCUCCGGUGAAAUUCGCUGCCACCGCUGCUGGGUCUCGGGUCAUAUUGCUCGCUCCUGUUCCUCCCUCCCUUCGCAUAGCCGGGAGGCGCCGCGUCCCGCCAGAUCUCGCGGGGCUCAGCCAAAUCCCAGCGCGCCUCCCAAAUCGCCGACGGUGGGCUCUUCCGCGCUACCUCCACCUCCCCCCAGGCUCCAUGGCGCACUACCCCCCGCUGGCUCGUGAGCGUUUCCCUGGGGUGGUGCUGACCCAUGGGGAUCCCGAUCUGAGGCCGGCUCGCGGUGGCGGCAUCAUUUCGCACACAACGGGCAUGGAUGUGCUCGAGGCGGAUUUCCGCAACCGCGCGCUGCUGGCCUCGGUGCAAGGUCGGCGGCCCGCGGUGUCGCCGAAAGCGCUGGUGCAAGCCCUGGGGCGUGUGCGUGGGGUCGAGAGGAGGCAUGUCCGGGUGGAAGUGGCGCACCCAGCGGAUUUCUUCAUCUUGUUCGCUUCUACGGAGGAUUGCGACCGGGUUUUCGGCCAAACCGGCCGGAUCUGGUGCAUGGGCGCGCCCAUUCGUUCCAGCGCUGGCAUCGGUGCGCUCAAGCAUCCAGUGGCAAGCUCGAGUUCUUCUGCAAGCUGGGAAUCGAGGGCUUGCCACCGAGUGGCUGGGAGUAGGAGACGCUAA
rnacentral:rRNA from 1 species